AACCAACAGGGAUUGCCCUAGUAACGGCGCGUGAAGCGGCAACAGCUCAAAUUUGAAAUCUGGCCCUAGGCCCGAAUUGUAAUUUGUAGAGGAUGCUUUUCGUGCGGUGCCUUCUGAGUUCCCUGGAACGGGACGGCAAAGAGGGUGAGAGCCCCGUAUAGUCGGACACCAAGGCCUCUGUAAAGGUUCUUCGACGGAGUCGAGAAGUUCGGGAUUCUGCUCUCAAAUUGGGGGUUAAAUCUCUCUUAAAGCUAAAUACCGGCUAGAGACCGAUAGCGCACAAGUAGAGUGACCGAAAGAUGAAAAGCACUUUGAAAAGAGGGUUAAACAGCACGUGAAAUUGUUGAAAGGGAAGCGCUUGUGACCAGACUUGCGCCCGGUUGAUCAUCCAGCGUUCUCGCUGGUGCACUCUGCCGGGCUCAGGCCAGCAUCGGUUCUCGCGGGGGGAUAAAAGCUUCGGGAAUGUAGCUCCCUCGGGAGUGUUAUAGCCCGCUGCAGAAUACCCUCGCGGGGACCGAGGUUCGCGCUCCGCAAGGAUAAGGUAAACCAGUAAAGCUACUAGGUGGUUAAGAGGCUGCGAGUCGCAGCCUAGGCUUUGGGUGUAAAACCCGCACGCGUAAUGAAAGUGAAUGUAGGUGAGAGCUUCGGCGCAUCAUCGACCGAUCCUGAUGUAUUCGGAUGGAUUUGAGUAAGAGCCUUACCGCUUGGACCCGAAAGAUGGUGAACUAUGCAUGAAUAGGGUGAAGCCAGAGGAAACUCUGGUGGAGGCUCGCAGCGGUUCUGACGUGCAAAUCGAUCGUCAAAUUUGUGCAUGGGGGCGAAAGACUAAUCGGAACCAUUAAAAGUGAAAGGAUAGGUAAUCCAGUAAA
rnacentral:rRNA from 1 species